GAUGAAGAACGCAUCGAAAUGCGAUAAGUAAUGUGAAUUGCAGAAUUCAGUGAAUCAUCGAGUCUUUGAACGCACAUUGCGCCCCCUGGUAUUCCGGGGGGCAUGCCUGUCCGAGCGUCAUUGCUGCCCUCAAGCACGGCUUGUGUGUUGGGCCCCCGUCCCCGGUUUCCCCCGGGGACGGGCCCGAAAGGCAGCGGCGGCACCGCGUCCGGUCCUCGAGCGUAUGGGGCUUUGUCACCCGCUCUGUAGGCCCGGCCGGCGCCAGCCGACACCCAACUUUAUUUCUAAGGUUGACCUCGGAUCAGGUAGGGAUACCCGCUGAACUUAAGCAUAUCAAUAAGCGGAGGA
rnacentral:misc_RNA from 1 species